AUUGAACGCUGGCGGCAGGCCUAACACAUGCAAGUCGAACGGUAACAGGAAACAGCUUGCUGUUUCGCUGACGAGUGGCGGACGGGUGAGUAAUGUCUGGGAAACUGCCUGAUGGAGGGGGAUAACUACUGGAAACGGUAGCUAAUACCGCAUAACGUCGCAAGACCAAAGAGGGGGACCUUCGGGCCUCUUGCCAUCGGAUGUGCCCAGAUGGGAUUAGCUAGUAGGUGGGGUAACGGCUCACCUAGGCGACGAUCCCUAGCUGGUCUGAGAGGAUAACCGGCCACACAGGAACUGAGACACGGUCCAGACUCCGACGGGGGGCAGCAGUGGAGAAUAUUGCACAAUGGGCGCAAGCCCGAUGCAGCCAUGCGGCGUGUAUGAAGAAGGCCUUCGGGUUGUAAAUGACUUUCAGCGGGGAGGAGGGGAGUAAAGUUAAUACCUUUGCUCAUUGACGUUACCCGCAGAAGAAGCACCGGCUAACUCCGUGCCAGCCGCCGCCGUAA
rnacentral:rRNA from 1 species